ACUGGUGGCGAUGCGCUUAGGGGAAACACCCGUCCACAUCCCGAACACGAUGGUUAAGACCUAAGCGGCCGAUGGUACUACGCUGGAGACGGCAUGGGAGAGUAGGUGGCUGCCAGAU
rnacentral:rRNA from 5 species